rnacentral:tRNA from 1 species
UAUAUUUAAGUGUAAUUGCACUUAAAAUUUUGAAUUUUAGAGAAUUAAUAAAAUUAAUAAAUAUAA